UCAUGUAAUGAUUUCCCAAUGAUAUUAUGUAUGUGUUGCCAUUAGAACUUUGCACUUAAGCAUGCUUGGGAUAGAGUAGCACUGGGAUGGGUGACCUCAUGGGAAGUCUCAGUGUUUUACAUGCC
rfam:Picea glauca, whole genome shotgun sequence.